GUCCUUAGUUACCAGCACGUUAUGGUGGGCGACUCUAAGGAGACUGCCGGUGGCAAACCGGAGGAAGGUGGGGAUGACGUCAAGUCAUCAUGGCCCUUACGGCCUGGGCUACACACGUGCUACAAUGGUCGGUACAAAGGGUUGCCAAGCCGCGAGGUGGAGCUAAUCCCAUAAAACCGAUCGUAGUCCGGAUCGCAGUCUGCAACUCGACUGCGUGAAGUCGGAAUCGCUAGUAAUCGUGAAUCAGAAUGUCACGGUGAAUACGUUCCCGGGCCUU
rnacentral:rRNA from 1 species